rnacentral:tRNA from 1 species
UUUUUCAUAGUGUAUAUAACACGUCAGCUUUUCACGUUGGAAAAGGGUUUGAUUACCCUGAAGGUU